rnacentral:snRNA from 1 species
AGACUCUGGUUUCUCUUCUCUUCAUUACGCACAAGCCUUUCGCCUUUACUAACAACUUCCGUGGAGAGGAAACACUUACGAGUUCAACGUAUUUUUGAGCGGCUUUGCUUCUUGCGAGCCC